rnacentral:tRNA from 1 species
GUUUCCGUAAGUGUAGUGGUUAUCACGUUUGCCUCACACGCGAAAGGUCCCCAGCUCGAAACUGGGCGGAAACA